rnacentral:tRNA from 1 species
GGGGAUGUAGCUCAGUUGGUAGAGCACCUGCUUUGCAAGCAGGCUGUCAGCGGUUCGAUUCCGCUCUUCUCCACCA